rnacentral:rRNA from 1 species
AAUCCAUUAUUUAAAUAUAGGACGGAAAGACCCCAAGAGUUUUACUAUUUGUUCAGUUUUAUUUGGGGUAAAUGUGCGUAAUUCAUUUAUUUUGAGAUCCUACAGGAUAGAGGAUAAAAUUACCUUGGGGAUAACUGAGUAAAGGGCAGUAAGAGAUCGUAUUGAGCUGCCUGUUACUACCUCGAUGUUGGCUUGUUGUACCUAUUUGGUGUAGAGGCUAAAUUUAGGAAGUCUGUUCGACUAUUAAUUCUUCAUGAGCUGAGUUAAGACCGGUGUAAGCCAGGUUGGUUCUUAUCUAUAUUUGAUUCUGGCUAGUACGAAAGGAGGGUUGGAGUAUACUGUUGUAUAAUUUCAGAUUUUAGGUUUGAUAAUGAAAAGUUGUUGGAUAGU